UAAUGUAAGUCCACCAUGGUAGGCUGGAAUAGGCAAAAGAAAUUAAAUGAUACCUCUUGCUAAAUUCUGAACAGAGAUAGAAGCAGAAUUACCAUAAGAGUAGCUUCAGAAAUGCGCGUUCAAAGAGCGAAAUCAAAUAAUAGCAGACCCAGAAGCGAAGGACAAGCACAUUACCAUAUUCUAUUAACCUUACACCAAUUAAUAUCCUUAAGCUAAAGUUUUUUCAUGAUUGUGGAAGACAGAAAGAGAUUAUUUAAGGCCUGUAAAUUAAAAAGCUCAAGUAGAACAAAAUAUAUACCAUGCUUGUUCAGUAUAUAUAAAAUUCAAGCAUGACUUCCCACACAGCAGAUAUAGGUCCUCUACAAACCAUUGUCUUGAAUCCAUGAUAGACUAGGCUAGGUAAGUUUUUUCCACAAUUAGAACCAUUCAUGAGAUAUUGGGCAUAAAAAUUGGACAUUGCUUGACAAGAAAUUAUAAGCCCUUGCUUUACUUGUCUUUACAUUCUAUCCAUUGAUAGAACAAAAGAACAAAGAAACAAAAAAGAAGUAUGAACUUAAAUUUCCAUUCUAAUUAUGGAAAAAAAGGAAAAAAAUUUUAACCUGAACCCAGUCUAUAAUUUUCCCAUAACAUUUAUCAAUUUUUCAUGGAGAAACCAAUUGAAAGGCACUGCUUAAGACUUGACAAAAUGAAAGAAAAUGCAGGUUUAAAUUAACAGAAAAUUGGACGGAAAUGAAAUGAAAUGAAAUGAAAUCAAAUCAAAUAAAAUCAAACACGGAAAGAGGAAGCUAUCCAUAUACUGAACAUAUUCAAGAAAGCUGAUUAUUUUACUUGGGCACUAAAUUAAGAGAGACGUAAACUGUAAAAUGGAGAAUAGCAACAUUACCAUUCAAGUAGCUUUGAAAGAGCA
rnacentral:misc_RNA from 1 species